UUCGCUGAAUUACUUCGAUUACAUUUUUCCGAAGCGGUUUCCGUGGAAUCCGCGCGCCUAGAUCGUUCUAAACGCGUUCUAAAUUUCGCGAGAAGCGCGGACCGUUGAUAAUAAAUCCACCAGUUCCACCGAACUAUGCGAUCCACGGAUCAAGACGAUACACGGUUCGCUCGGUUAUUACGAAUUCCAAAGGCGACGAUCCAAAAUAAACAGCUAGGAGGUAGCCAAGAACCCUGUUCCAAGAAUACCGCCAAGUAGCGAUGCCUCGGUUCGAUCCGUUCUGCAGCAAGUUUUCAUGAUCGAUCGUUUCGAAUCGAUGAUCCUGUUAAUGAAGAAACGCGCGGAUCCAUUUUCCUGUCACCCCUUUCAGCCUUAACGGACAAAACUGUACAAAUUAUAAACCGUGAAAAUCCCGACAACCUUAUUAAUUAAUUUUUAUCGUUUAUUGCUCGAUGCCCGGCUUAUAGCAUACAUCGCAUAAUUAGAUGGUGCGAGGUCAGAGGUAGGCAGGAAAUAGGUUACAUGAUCUGGUCGUCGAGAGAAAAAAAGGGGCAACGAAUUGUUUCCUGAAUAUUCGAGACACCGAGUUCUCGAAGGAAGAUACCUGGCAGCGUUUUUUAAUGUCCGCGAGGGUUGCUAAUUAGCGUGGCUCAGUGUGCAUCCGUAACGUCUCUCGUUCGAGCACCACAUGUGGCCGACAAUGUCUUUAUAAAGCCCGGUUCCCGGAACCAGACGCAACACCGUCCAGCCGUCGAUGAUGUCACUGGAAUUUACAUGUUGCGACGCAAUCGUCGAUUCAUAAAGGCGGCGCGAGCGGACAAUUUGCACGGCGCGGCGCGGAACUAUGUAUUCGAGCGAAGUUUUCCUGCGCGCCGUUACAUCAUUCGUUGUCUCGCCGUUUCCUGCGGCGACCCCGAAGAUCGGCGGAAAGGUGGGGGGUGUGGACGCGACGAUUGUCUCGUUCCGGUUGAACAACCCUCGCCGGCUAACUUCGCUAUCGAACGAGUCGCGGCUUCAUUCUCGAAGAAGUUGCUCCUGCCCUCGGAACUUUGCUCGCAGCUGACUUUGCUAACCGAGCAAUCGUGAAUGCAUUAUGUUCGUGUUAUUCAUCGCGAACUUGACAAUACAAAGAGAAUCCUACGAUAACUUCUUGUCCGCCGCGACUGGAUCAAGAAACGGUUCGAAGCGAAAUUUCUCGUAUUUAAAGAUGUCACGCGGUUUCGGAUAUAACCUAUAAUAUGUAGUAAUAAUAGAUAAGAUUCAUAACA